AUUGAACGCUGGCGGCAUGCUUUACACAUGCAAGUCGAACGGUAACAGGGACUUCGGUCUGCUGACGAGUGGCGAACGGGUGAGUAAUGCAUCGGAACGUACCGAGUAAUGGGGGAUAACGCAUCGAAAGGUGUGCUAAUACCGCAUACGCCCUGAGGGGGAAAGCGGGGGAUCGAAAGACCUCGCGUUAUUCGAGCGGCCGAUGCCGGAUUAGCUAGUUGGUGGGGUAAAGGCUCACCAAGGCGACGAUCCGUAGCAGGUCUGAGAGGAUGAUCUGCCACACUGGGACUGAGACACGGCCCAGACUCCUACGGGAGGCAGCAGUGGGGAAUUUUGGACAAUGGGGGCAACCCUGAUCCAGCCAUGCCGCGUGUCUGAAGAAGGCCUCGGUUGUAAGG
rnacentral:rRNA from 1 species